GACAGAGGGGGCAAGCGUUGCUCGGAAUCACUGGGCGUAAAGGGCGCGUAGGCGGCUUUGCAAGUGGCGGGUGAAAUCCCUCGGCUUAACCGAGGAACUGCCUGUCAAACUGCAUGGCUUGAGACCAGGAGAGGUGAGUGGAAUUCCCAGUGUAGCGGUGAAAUGCGUAGAUAUUGGGAGGAACACCAGUGGCGAAGGCGGCUCACUGGACUGGUACUGACGCUGAUGCGCGAAAGCGUGGGGAGCAAACAGG
rnacentral:rRNA from 1 species